rnacentral:rRNA from 1 species
GGGUCAGUAGGUUGGUCGUGCCACCGGUACGUACUGGUCUCACUGAUUCCUCCUUCCUGAAGAACCGUAAUGCCAUUAAUUUGGUGUUGCGGGGAAACAGGACUGUUACUUUGAAAAAAUUAGAGUGUUUAAAGCAAGCUAACGCUUGAAUACAUUAGCAUGGAAUAAUGAAAUAGGACGAUCGACCCUAUUUUGUUGGUCUCUAGGAUUGACGUA